rnacentral:rRNA from 3 species
AGAGUUUGAUCAUGGCUCAGAUUGAACGCUGGCGGCAGGCCUAACACAUGCAAGUCGAACGGUAACAGGAAGCAGCUUGCUGCUUCGCUGACGAGUGGCGGACGGGUGAGUAAUGUCUGGGAAACUGCCUGAUGGAGGGGGAUAACUACUGGAAACGGUGGCUAAUACCGCAUAACGUCGCAAGACCAAAGAGGGGGACCUUCGGGCCUCUUGCCAUCAGAUGUGCCCAGAUGGGAUUAGCUUGUUGGUGAGGUAACGGCUCACCAAGGCGACGAUCCCUAGCUGGUCUGAGAGGAUGACCAGCCACACUGGAACUGAGACACGGUCCAGACUCCUACGGGAGGCAGCAGUGGGGAAUAUUGCACAAUGGGCGCAAGCCUGAUGCAGCCAUGCCGCGUGUAUGAAGAAGGCCUUCGGGUUGUAAAGUACUUUCAGCGGGGAGGAAGGUGUUGUGGUUAAUAACCACAGCAAUUGACGUUACCCGCAGAAGAAGCACCGGCUAACUCCGUGCCAGCAGCCGCGGUAAUACGGAGGGUGCAAGCGUUAAUCGGAAUUACUGGGCGUAAAGCGCACGCAGGCGGUCUGUCAAGUCGGAUGUGAAAUCCCCGGGCUCAACCUGGGAACUGCAUUCGAAACUGGCAGGCUUGAGUCUUGUAGAGGGGGGUAGAAUUCCAGGUGUAGCGGUGAAAUGCGUAGAGAUCUGGAGGAAUACCGGUGGCGAAGGCGGCCCCCUGGACAAAGACUGACGCUCAGGUGCGAAAGCGUGGGGAGCAAACAGGAUUAGAUACCCUGGUAGUCCACGCCGUAAACGAUGUCUACUUGGAGGUUGUGCCCUUGAGGCGUGGCUUCCGGAGCUAACGCGUUAAGUAGACCGCCUGGGGAGUACGGCCGCAAGGUUAAAACUCAAAUGAAUUGACGGGGGCCCGCACAAGCGGUGGAGCAUGUGGUUUAAUUCGAUGCAACGCGAAGAACCUUACCUGGUCUUGACAUCCACGGAAGUUUUCAGAGAUGAGAAUGUGCCUUCGGGAACCGUGAGACAGGUGCUGCAUGGCUGUCGUCAGCUCGUGUUGUGAAAUGUUGGGUUAAGUCCCGCAACGAGCGCAACCCUUAUCCUUUGUUGCCAGCGGUCCGGCCGGGAACUCAAAGGAGACUGCCAGUGAUAAACUGGAGGAAGGUGGGGAUGACGUCAAGUCAUCAUGGCCCUUACGACCAGGGCUACACACGUGCUACAAUGGCGCAUACAAAGAGAAGCGACCUCGCGAGAGCAAGCGGACCUCAUAAAGUGCGUCGUAGUCCGGAUUGGAGUCUGCAACUCGACUCCAUGAAGUCGGAAUCGCUAGUAAUCGUGGAUCAGAAUGCCACGGUGAAUACGUUCCCGGGCCUUGUACACACCGCCCGUCACACCAUGGGAGUGGGUUGCAAAAGAAGUAGGUAGCUUAACCUUCGGGAGGGCGCUUACCACUUUGUGAUUCAUGACUGGGGUGAAGUCGUAACAAGGUAACCGUAGGGGAACCUGCGGUUGGAUCACCU